rnacentral:rRNA from 1 species
AUUGAACGCUGGCGGCAGGCUUAACACAUGCAAGUCGAGCGGAGCGAAGGUGCUUGCAUCUUAGCUUAGCGGCGGACGGGUGAGUAAUGCUUAGGAAUCUGCCUAUUAGUGGGGGACAACGUUUCGAAAGGAACGCUAAUACCGCAUACGUCCUACGGGAGAAAGCAGGGGAUCUUCGGACCUUGUGCUAAUAGGUGAGCCUAAGUCGGAUUAGCUAGUUGGUGGGUUAAAGGCCUACCAAGGCGACGAUCUGUAGCGGGUCUGAGAGGAUGAUCCGCCACACUGGGACUGAGACACGGCCCAGACUCCUACGGGAGGCAGCAGUGGGGAAUAUUGGACAAUGGGCGAAAGCCUGAUCCAGCCAUGCCGCGUGUGUGAAGAAGGCCUUUUGGUUGUAAAGCACUUUAAGCGAGGAGGAGGAGCUUCAGGUUAAUACCCUGGAUGCUUGGACGUUACUCGCAGAAUAAGCACCGGCUAACUCUGUGCCAGCAGCCGCCGUAA